UCAGAUUGAACGCUGGCGGCAGGCUUAACACAUGCAAGUCGAACGAUGAUUAUCUAGCUUGCUAGAUAUGAUUAGUGGCGGACGGGUGAGUAACAUUUAGGAAUCUGCCUAGUAGUGGGGGAUAGCUCGGGGAAACUCGAAUUAAUACCGCAUACGACCUACGGGUGAAAGGGGGCGCAAGCUCUUGCUAUUAGAUGAGCCUAAAUCAGAUUAGCUAGUUGGUGGGGUAAAGGCCYACCAAGGCGACGAUCUGUAACUGGUCUGAGAGGAUGAUCAGUCACACCGGAACUGAGACACGGUCCGGACUCCUACGGGAGGCAGCAGUGGGGAAUAUUGGACAAUGGGGGCAACCCUGAUCCAGCCAUGCCGCGUGUGUGAAGAAGGCCUUUUGGUUGUAAAGCACUUUAAGCAGGGAGGAGAGGCUAAUGGUUAAUACCCAUUAGAUUAGACGUUACCUGCAGAAUAAGCACCGGCUAACUCUGUGCCAGCAGCCGCGGUAAUACAGAGGGUGCGAGCGUUAAUCGGAAUUACUGGGCGUAAAGCGAGUGUAGGUGGCUCAUUAAGUCACAUGUGAAAUCCCCGGGCUUAACCUGGGAACUGCAUGUGAUACUGGUGGUGCUAGAAUAUGUGAGAGGGAAGUAGAAUUCCAGGUGUAGCGGUGAAAUGCGUAGAGAUCUGGAGGAAUACCGAUGGCGAAGGCAGCUUCCUGGCA
rnacentral:rRNA from 1 species